UCAGACAUGGGACAUCAUCUGUUUCAUGACAGUCAGGCCAGAGAUGGAGCACAUCGUGCUAUGGCUUCUCCUACUCUGACAACCUGUGUUUCUCCCAGGCUUUAUUUAUACAUAAAAUCAUUUCCUCAGAAAGUUUACUCAUUGAUUACAGCUUUUCAAAACACAUUUUCUUCUGAAGUCGUCCUUGACUACAUAAGAAUAUGGAAAGAAGAACAAAGCAAGCAAACAAUCUUUAUGAGAACUGAAAAUUAACAUUAUGAUAAAAUCAAUUUUCUUUACACUCAGUAUCUUCUUCCUUAAGAUUGGUGUUGUAAAGCCUACGGUUGCAUAAAUGUUAGACAGGAUGACUGUAUUUGAAUUUGUUUCUGUUUCAGUUUGGCCUAAGAGUAAUAGAUCAAGAGUUCUUUCCUACUACCUGUUGUAUCAAACUUGGCUUUUUACAAAAGUUCAAUCUAACCCUUACUUAAUUCUUCCUUUCCUUCUUCUAAUUCUUUUAUAUCUGGCAUAAGGUCACCAUCCUUUUUCUUUGAUUCUUAAAAUAUUGUGCAGCCCCUUGCUUAAGCAAAGGCUGUCUGUCCGUAAUGCUCUGGUCUGACAAGACUGUUCGGGAAGGCAGGCAGUUCACUGAGCUAGGAUGCCUUCCUCAGUGUCUCUGUCAUGAACCCUUGUUUCGGUACGGUUCCUAUCUUUAUUACAGUUCUAUAAAGAACAGAAGAACAUCAGGAUUCUUACAACCGCUUGCUUUUGCCUUCAGGAAGGCACCAAGCUUGUCAUCAACUAUAUGAUCAAAAUCUCUCCCUACUCAUACAAGUUCCUUGUUUCUAAAGUUGAACGUUAAAGACAAUUACAGUUUAAUUCAAUUCAAUUACAGUUUGUUCAGCUUCUAGUAUUUCCCUAAGUUUUUCUCCUUUAAUAAUUUUUCUCAAAUCCUCUACCUCAUGCUUUCUAACAAUACUCAUUAAUGAUCUAAAUGUUUAUUUAAGCAAUAAGUUCUUAGGAAAGACUCAAUUUUCUACAUAACUGGUUUUUUUUCUGGGGAACUUUCUUUAAUUUCAUUCUUGUUUAUACUAGCUUUUUGUGUUCCUGGCUCUAGCACUCAGAGAGAGGCCUUAGACAGUAAGAAACUUAAGUAGGACAAAAGGUGUGUAGCAAACAUUCACCAAGGGCAGUAAAGGGUCAGUCCGGUUGUCUAAGCACAAGAGCUUUGUCAAGCAGUGCCUUCAGGAUGCUUGGUAUCGCUAGACACCUGCAGUGCCAGAGAACGGACAUUGGGGAUGAGUGACUCCAUAAUGGAUGGAUAAUAAAGGCACCAUGGCAACUGGGUUUUCGCUGGAUAAAUAGUGAAGAGGGACAUUUAACUCAAGAAAGGCGUACAAGGCCAUCCCAGAUAAUAUAGAUAUUCAUCCAUGAAAGAAGAAUGUUAUACUGUUGACGUAGAACAUGGGGAAAGUUCCUUACGACCUUUGCACAAGUAAAGUUUUCUUAAGCAAGACAGAAAUUUAAUGUUCAACUAAACGAAGUCAUCUGAUAGAAUGGAAACUGUUCACUGAGAUACACAAUCAGGAA
rnacentral:lncRNA from 1 species